UUAUGAAAGAAUUAUUGGGAAAUUUUUAGUAAAAGUAGUUAUAUGUUUUAGUAUAGUUUAGAAAAAAUGGAGUUAAUUAUAGUUUAUUAGUACAGUGAAGGAGUUUAAAAAUGAGUGGGAAGAAUUUUUUGUUUAGGGUACCUUUUGUAUCAGGGUUUAUUAAAAGAGGUUUUUAAAUAAAAAUAUCUCGAAUUUUGGAGGGCUAAGAAAGUGAAAAUUUUAUUGUGGAAUAACUAUUUACAACACUUUUUUUGUAACCAUAUAUUAGUCGUUCUGUAAUAUAUCUAGUUUUCUAAGAAAUUAAUUUAAUUAAGCUUGCUAGGAACAGAAUUUUUAUAGGAAAUUAAUUUUGUAGUUAAGUUAUAUCCGGGGGGAUAAGCUUUUGGAUAAAUUUUUAAAAUGUUUUUUUCAUUAAAGGUGAAAUAGGAAUAGAAGUUUUUAUUUUUUGAAGUGAGUUGUAUCAUGACUUUAUUUUAGUUGAUUUUUUGUUAUUUAAGUAUUUUAUUAGAAUAGGAAUUUUAAUUUUGAAUUUUUCGUAAUAAUGAUAAAAUUAGUAUUUAUUAGGGUUUAUAAAAGUUAGUUUUGUAAAGUUGGGUUAAGGAAUUCGGCAAAUCUAUUCUUUGCCUGUUUAUUAAAAACAUGGCCUUUUGAGAAUAAUUUUAGGUCUGGCCUGCCCAAUGAUUUAUUUAAUGGCCGCGGUACUCUGACCGUGCAAAGGUAGCAUAAUCAUUAGUUUUUUAAUUGAAAGCUGGAAUGAACGGUCGGACAAGGGAAUAGCUGUCUCAACCUAAAUUGAAAGAAUUUUAUAUUUUAGUGAGAAAGCUUAAAUAAGUUUGAGGGACGAGAAGACCCUAUAGAAUUUUAUAAUUUUUUUUUGGUUUAAUUUUUGGGUUUAUUGAGUUAAUUUAAGGAAAAAUUGUUUUGUUGGGGUGACAGAAAAAUUUGAUAAACUUUUUUUUAUGUAUUUCAUUAAUUUAUGAAUAAUUGAUCCAUGUAUAGUGAUUAUAAGAUUAAAUUACCUUAGGGAUAACAGCGUAAUUGGUUUGGAGAGUUCUUAUCGAUAAACUAGUUUGCGACCUCGAUGUUGGAUUAAAAUUAACUUGUGGUGUAGGGGCUACAAAGUUGAGUCUGUUCGACUUUUAAAAUUUUACAUGAUCUGAGUUUAAACCGGCGUGAGCCAGGUUGGUUUCUAUCUUCAAAAAUUUAAAAUAUUUUAGUACGAAAGGACCAAGUAUUUAUUUUAAAAAUUUAAUUUUGAAUAUUAUU
rnacentral:rRNA from 1 species